UCAGACAAACUCCGAAUGCCAAUUAAUUUAACUUGGGAGUCAGAACAUGGGUGAUAAGGUCCGUGUUCGAAAGGGAAACAGCCCAGACCACCAGCUAAGGUCCCAAAAUAUAUGUUAAGUGGAAAAGGAUGUGGCGUUGCCCAGACAACUAGGAUGUUGGCUUAGAAGCAGCCAUCAUUUAAAGAGUGCGUAAUAGCUCACUAGUCGAGUGACACUGCGCCGAAAAUGUACCGGGGCUAAACAUAUUACCGAAGCUGUGGAUUGUCCUUUGGACAAUGGUAGGAGAGCGUUCUAAGGGCGUUGAAGCAUGAUCGUAAGGACAUGUGGAGCGCUUAGAAGUGAGAAUGCCGGUGUGAGUAGCGAAAGACGGGUGAGAAUCCCGUCCACCGAUUGACUAAGGUUUCCAGAGGAAGGCUCGUCCGCUCUGGGUUAGUCGGGUCCUAAGCUGAGGCCGACAGGCGUAGGCGAUGGAUAACAGGUUGAUAUUCCUGUACCACCUAUAAUCGUUUUAAUCGAUGGGGGGACGCAGUAGGAUAGGCGAAGCGUGCGAUUGGAUUGCACGUCUAAGCAGUAAGGCUGAGUAUUAGGCAAAUCCGGUACUCGUUAAGGCUGAGC
rnacentral:rRNA from 1 species